rnacentral:lncRNA from 1 species
CAGGCUUUCUGGCUUGCUUUUCUGCAAAUGUCUGGUAGAUGUCACCUGAUUCCUUGGAAGAUGGCCUUAAGGAAUCUGGCUCCCAGAAGGUGGACCUGGAAUUUAAGAGGGAGGGCUGCAGUGUGGAGAAACAAUCCCUAAGAGUUCUGACAGCUCCUGUGAGGGUGGUGAGCAGCUCUUGAGUGCAGCUGGAGCCCUGAUGAAGGCUGGGAGGUGCUGUGUGCGGGGGGCCAUGCUUGCCCCACUCUGGGUUUUGGUUGUGGCUGAGAGUGGGGGUUGGGCAGGGCUCAUUGUGCAACCAGCAUUACCCAACACCUGGGGGCUCCUACCCACCUUUAGGUCACCCUAGGCACAUAUAGCUCUUUGAAUAGGUUUCCAGCAGGUAGUGGUUAUCAAGUCUUGAGAUGAGUUUUGUUUUUCCAAUUUGCAACUCUAUUGGGCGGCAAGGAAGAAGAUUCCAACUUUCCCAAUAGCAUCCUGACCAGGGGUGUAGCAGGGCCAGGGAAGCCACACAGGUCUGGUCUCAUACCCAGGGGAGGUGACUCCUGCAGUGGGGGAGGGGAUGGGUCUUGAGCCCACCUGCUGGGCCACGUGCCUCCCAGGGCCAGCUGACCUUGGGCAAAUUGCUUCUGCCUAAGCUUCAGUUUCCUGUCUGUGAAUGGGGUUAGGGCUGUGUCCUGUUUCACUCUUCUGGCUUUAGGAUUGCAUGACACAGCCUUUGAGCUAGGGAUUAGCAGAGAAACUCCAGGUUGGCCAUUCUGUCUGUUUUCUGUGCUCCCCUCUCUGCUGCAUCUUUGGAAUCUGCUCUGUUCAGCCUGGAUUCAGUGAGUGUGAGUGGUGCCCGUGUGUGUUAGAGUCAGCAUCUCUGGGUAAGUGGAGCCUGCAGAUUCCUGGGGACAAGGAGCUCAAC